UGUCGUCAGUGGUCACACGUGGUAUUACAGCCUGUCUGAAGUUCGCCACAUGUGGAAAAGGAAACCUCAUUCAACAUUCAAUAUUAGCUGAAAACGCAGUUCUGUUGCUGAGGAAACCGCCAAAGGGGCGUAAACGUUCCGAAACCUUUGAUUUAAUGCGUACAUUUAAAUGGCAUUAUACUUUUGCUUGGGUUUCUCACCACCCGUGCCAGUGCUAGCUUGGCUAGCUAACGAUGCUACUGUACGUACCAAUGACGUCAUAAAAACGUUAGACAACCAUCACAACAAGCAAAAAGACGAUGGGGACUUUCCAGAACAUAACGCUCGGGCCGCCGAGUGAGACGUGCAGCAAGUGUUGUGGCUGCGUUGGUUUCCCGGCUCUCCACAUUUUCCCCGGUUGUCUCGUCCUAAGAGACAAGUGAAACCGUCCCCCGCACCUUGUACGCAAGCUGAUGAACUGAUAUGAGCAAAUGGGAGGAUGCAGACACUGCUGUCAGUGCUGAUGAGGGACAGGAGCUACGGGCCGGCCUUUACUGCACCGCGCUGAGUCUCUCUGCAUUGAGGAGCACUUGAGGCGAGCUGGAUAGAGAACGUUUGGUAAGUGUUUUCUGUACAUUUGCUGGAUCGUUAUGCGUUCUUCCGGCGGUGUUGCAGGAUCAGUUAAGCCUUGUAAAGUUUUUAAAAUCUCAUCAAAGAAUUAUUAAGCAGAAGGUUUUAUGUUUUUUUUUUUUUACUAACGCUUUUCUAAAUGUUUUUUUCAUGAGUGAGAAGGUCAAAUUCACACUCAAAGUUAGGGAAGAAGCUUCAGGUUUCACUACACAAGUAAUAUUUUGUGCUGAGAGAGAAAGUAAAAGUUAAAAAGGAGGGGAGUUCAAGUACAGACUUUGAUAGCAUGCGAGAGAGGAAAUUCCAAAGGUGGGGGGGGUUGUGUCUCUGAACGGUAUACAGAGUCAGCUUUGGGAGAACGGCCUCAGCCAAAACCGCUGAGUAAUGCACGGGUUGUGGGUCCCUGCAGACACACUGGUGCGCGCUUGCACACAAACAUUUGAGUCAGCACUGGCCUGCAGUCGGCAUCAAAAGCCCCUCAAGUGAUAAGCUUUGGCGAGGAGAACGAGGAUUGCAAUGCUAAUCUCCUAAACAUGAUUUUUCAUACAGCUUUGCACAACAUGCCUCCGGAUUAAAGACAUUCUAUUAAAGAGAAGGAGCUUAACAUAUGGUAGGGGAAGAAAAGCUAGCUGUACUCGGUCGGGUUUAGUCGCCUGAGCUAGAGUUCAAUAGCCCCCUUUUUAAAGUGCAUUUGCUCUACAGCCGGGGCUGUGGGAUGAUCCUGCCAAGCAGCAAAAUACUGAGGGGAAACCAGUGAUUGACGCUGUUUACAGUGCAUAGAGCUGAUGCGCCAGUGCUUUUAAAAGCUCUUGUAAUUCUCAUGACUUCAUAGGUUUGUGGGUAAGUUUCUAAGACUGGGUAGUAAAUGAAAGAAUCAUAACUAACUCCAUUCUUUUUUUUGAAAUCGAGCUUUAUUUUGUUAUCUUCUCAUCUUGACAAUGUAACUUUGGUUUUUCAGAAACUACAGGAUCAUGGACAUUAGAAUUGGUCUGUAAAUCACUUUGUUUCCUCGUUGAGCAGCGUUCGAAGGCAAUGGGAGAUGUGCCGGUGCAUAUGUGCAGUAUGUGACAUUUGAGUGAUACCAGCUGUGGCACACACACAGGUCAGUGGUUCAUAAGACCCCAGUCCUCAAGUACCACUUCAACCGCUUGUUUCCAGCCAUCUCUGAUCCGGUGUGUUCAGCCCAUCUAAAGCUGGAAGGUCGAGGUGUGGAGCUGUAAAACAAGCAGGGCGAUGCUACAGGAUGACAGGGUUUGAGAACCUCUGCAGAUGAUUACUGUAACAAUAU